GUUACUUCGGUACAUCGGUGACAGGUGGUGCAUGGUUGUCGUCAGCUCGUGUCGUGAGAUGUUGGGUUAAGUCCCGCACGAGCGCAACCCCUAUUGUUAGUUGCCAUCAUUCAGUUGGGCACUCUAGCGAGACUGCCGGUAAUAAACCGGAGGAAGGUGGGGAUGACGUCAAAUCAUCAUGCCCUUUAUGACCUGGGCUACACACGUGCUACAAUGGAUGGUACAGAGAGCAGCGAGGCAGCGAUGUGGAGCGAAUCUCAAAAAGCCAUUCUCAGUUCGGAUUGGAGUCUGCAACUCGACUCCAUGAAGUCGGAAUCGCUAGUAAUCGCGAAUCAGCAUGUCGCGGUGAAUGCGUUCCCGGGCCUU
rnacentral:rRNA from 1 species